rnacentral:rRNA from 1 species
UACGAAGGGGGCUAGCGUUGCUCGGAAUCACUGGGCGUAAAGCGCACGUAGGCGGGCUCCUAAGUCGGUGGUGAAAUCCUGGAGCUCAACUCCAGAACUGCCUUCGAUACUGGAGAGCUCGAGUCCGGGAGAGGUGAGUGGAACUGCGAGUGUAGAGGUGAAAUUCGUAGAUAUUCGCAAGAACACCAGUGGCGAAGGCGGCUCACUGGCCCAGUACUGACGCUGAGGUGCGAAAGCGUGGGGAGCAAACAGG